GCCAGCCCGCUCAGAAACUUAAAGGAAUUGACGGGGCCCGCACAAGCGGUGGAGUAUGUGGUUUAAUUCGAUGCAACGCGAAGAACCUUACCUGGUCUUGACAUCCCGGAGACCCUUAGGAAACUAGGGGGUGCUUCCAUCUGGAAGAAUCUGGAGACAGGUGCUGCAUGGCUGUCGUCAGCUCGUGUCGUGAGAUGUUGGGUUAAGUCCCGCAACGAGCGCAACCCUUGCCUUUAGUUGCCAGCAGUUCGGCUGGGCACUCUAAAGGGACUGCCGGUGUUAAACCGGAGGAAGGUGGGGAUGACGUCAAGUCCUCAUGGCCUUUAUGACCAGGGCUACACACGUACUACAAUGGCCGAUACAAAGGGCAGCGACACUGCGAGGUGAAGCCAAUCCCGUAAAAUCGGUCUCAGUCCGGAUUGGAGUCUGCAACUCGACUCCAUGAAGUUGGAAUCGCUAGUAAUCGUGGAUCAGCAUGCCACGGUGAAUACGUUCCCGGGCCUU
rnacentral:rRNA from 1 species